GUUUCACUCUACCGAGUCUCCACAUCCCUCACUUGUGCGCUAAAAGUCCAUUUAAAGACCUUAACUUUCCUUCAUUCCAAACAAGUGCAUUUGCAUGCAGGUUAGGGCUCUCCACUCUCUAGAUCACGCAAAUGUACUCAAAUUUUGUUCCUGAUAAGGCCUUAUUCGAAUAUAGAAACACAGAAUCUACUGUUGUUAGUACAGUUGCUUGCUGAUUAGCCACUUGACUUGAUGACUGCUUCUGAAAUUUCAGUUUUGUUCUUCAUUUUGCAAUUAUUAUCAUUAUUAUUAUAAUUGAGAUAUGCAGAAAUAGUUGAUUUUAAGCUACCUCACUUCUUCAAUUACCCUCCAUACUUCAUCUUGCAGCCUGUGAGGGACACCCCUGAGAAGCAGGUACAACGUUGGAA